UACUAAUUAUUUUCUCUAAUUACAAUUACAAUUUUAUUUUUUUUUUGGCAAAAAUGUAUUGAGUCAACUUUCCGAAAUCCACUCUCCUGGACAAAAACUUGAAAUCCUUCUUGAUUUGUAGGUUCUGCAGGUCCUGGCUUGCUUUGUGCCCGUGGGAGGUACUGUCCAGCAGGCACACUCAGUGAGAUCUUAUGCCCUCAAGGGACCUUCACCCCACAUCAGGGGGCGCUGAGUAAGAUUUCUUUCUUAAAACAUUCAUUCUCAUUAAAGCACAUCCAUAUAAAUCUACCGUCAUGUUGAUAUUUGUUUUGUUUUUUAUCAUAGGUGUAAAGGACUGUUUAAAGUGUCCACCAGGCUUCUAUUGUCCAGAAGGAACAAGUGACCCAAUGCCUUGUCAACCAGGCACCUUUAACCCUCUGAAGGGGCAGGAUGCGCUGGCAGACUGCAGGCCUUGUUACCCGGGCAAAGCAUGCACACAAGUAGCACUGAAGUUUCCUGAUGUGGAUUGUAUGCCAGGGUUAGUGCAUUACGCACCUGAGAAAAAAAAUUAAACCAGCCUAAGCUGGACUUAUCUGACUGGUCCAUUUAGUUGGUUUUAGAGGUUUUGAGCAUCUAGCUAAAGUCACAUUUCUUUAUCCACUUUCUAGCCAAAAAUAUUUUUGUUUGUUUGUUUUUUUCAGGUUUGUGUGUCCACCAGGUUCUACCCGACCAAAUGACCCAUCCAGCGCUUGCCCUCCUGGUACCCUUAGUAACCGCACAGACCUCACUGACCUCUCCCAGUGCCAGCAGUGUCCUGCACGUUAUGCCUGUCUUCGAGGCACUGGUGGCAUCCAGAGGCCUCUGCUUUUUUGCUUUCCUGGACAUUACUGUCCUGUGGGCACUAUGUUCCCCACUCAGCACAAGUGUCCAGCUGGUACCUGGAGUGACCGCAGUGGACUGGAGUCGGAACGCGAGUGCCAGCCGUGCCCGAGAGGCUGGUACUGUUUAGCAGGAGUGGGCGCUCCCUCUGGGAGAUGCAACUCGGGACACUACUGUCCUGAAGGUACUGAAGCUGUGUGAAAUGUUCUUCCACCUUGAAGAAAGACAUGUUAAAGGGAUUGAUCACUCAAAAAUGAAAAUUCUGUCAUUAGCUACUCAACCCCAUGUCGUUCCAAACCUAUAAGACCUUUGUUCAUCUUUGGAACACAAAUUAAGAUAAUGUUAAUGAAAUGAGAGAGCUUUCUGACCUUGCACAGACAGCAACUACCAUGUUUUUGUGUGCAAAGAAGACAAAAAUAAUGACUUUAUUCAACAAUUUCUCCUCUACCAAUUUCUUUACUACCUUUCUGGAUCCCCUCUAUGUCAAACACAUUUUUUAAGACUAUUGAACAGUCAGAUUAAAGUCUUGAUAUGCUCUAUGUGUGUUUAUCUCUACAGGUACGUUAUAUGGCUCACAGCAUCCAUGCCCUCCAGGCACCUACAGCACAAAGAUUGGUAACGGCAGGAAAGAGGACUGUCAAGUCUGUCCAGAAGGCUAUUACUGUAAGGAGGGUACAUCCAAACCCACUUCCUGUCCACCGUGAGUCACAGUCCCAUUGGCUGAAAUAACAAAGAUAAAACCAGAUAAGAUUUCAGUGUAUCUGACUUUUCCUAUGUGUCCAGGGCAACAUUUAGUCGGAUAAAGGGGGGCCGGAGAGCAGAGGAUUGCUCUGUGUGUCCUGCUGGCUACUUCUGUCCUCAUCCGGCCACAAUAAAUCCAAAAGUUUGUGGAACAGGAAGUUAUUCUGUAAGCCAGACAGCUAAUUCUGUUCUAAUGCAUGUUGUCUCAUUGUAAUAAAUGAAUACACCAUUUCAUUUAUCUGUCUCCCUUUCUUCUGGCUCUCU
ensembl:lncRNA